CGGGGUGAGUAACACGUGGAUAACCUACCUAUAAGACUGGGAUAACUUCGGGAAACCGGAGCUAAUACCGGAUAAUAUUUUGAACCGCAUGGUUCAAAAGUGAAAGACGGUCUUGCUGUCACUUAUAGAUGGAUCCGCGCUGCAUUAGCUAGUUGGUAAGGUAACGGCUUACCAAGGCAACGAUGCAUAGCCGACCUGAGAGGGUGAUCGGCCACACUGGAACUGAGACACGGUCCAGACUCCUACGGGAGGCAGCAGCU
rnacentral:rRNA from 1 species